ensembl:lncRNA
GGAAAACUGAUUUCUGAAUCUGAAAAUAAAUCAAUCUGGGCUUUUUUCAGCAGUAAGGAUAGGCAGGAAAUACUUUUGCUUUUGACAACAGGAAUAACUUUUGCACAUAAGUAACUUCUAGGUCUCUAAAGUUCACUGAGAACGGCCUUUACCUUAAAGCAUGACUGCACCCCGGUCAAGGGGACAACGUGACACACAAAGGAGGUGACCCUGCAGCGUGACAGAUCUGAAUGCACGGAGUACAGAUGGAGCAUCUCCGAGGGAUGUGGUCUGAGGAAUCACAAGUGAAAUUGAUGAGAACUUGAUGCAACACCAAGCACUUUUAUCAGAAUUUCAAUGGAAAUUCCAAGCAAAGCAGGUUGGAUGACAAGCACAUGAACACCGACCUUGGGAAGAGCAACUAUGCAUGUUGGUGGUAGGAUAUAAGUGCUGCACAGCCUCUUCCAGGAGCACCUGGAGAUGCUUCCGGAAGACUCUGCCUGGACACAGUGUGCUGCUUGACCACAUCUGCCUGUUGUAAAACAAAGUACCUAAAGCAAGCCAAAUUCAUGGAAGGCGAAGCACUUAUUUAGUGCAAUUUAGCAGUCACCUGUGCACCUGGGAAAUCUGCUUGGUGCUAAAGGUUUGCCUGAGCCCUGGUUCUGUGAGGAUAAAUGAGGACGUGUGUUGGGCAAGAGCAGCAGGAGGCAGCCAGAUCUGCACUGAGCUAACCUCAUCCCACCCAGUACGCAAGAAAUGUAUCUGUGAAGAACUACUCGUACAACUGUGUUCAUCAGCAAAGACUUACAUUAGUGCACAGCUUCCAUUACGCCUAACUGAAACCAAAGAGAGUCAGCUCGUCUUGGACUUCAUAGCAGAGCCCAGUGAGGAUGAAAGAUCACCCCUUGUUAACAGCAAGGGGCUAAUAGGAGACUGGUGUCAGCAGCAGCAAAAAGGAAGGAGAGCGAGGCGUGCAGGAGCAGAGCAGACAUCCUUCUCACCAUCUCUUCCACGACUGUUGAACUGCUUCCUCUAAGAGAUUAAGAUGACGACCUGUCCUGCUGUCUCCGGGCUGGGAGAUAAGGUCUAUCUCUGCAUCCCAACUGUCCUCGCUGGGGAACUGCAAGGAGUGGUGCUGACAGGAGUGCAGCAAGGGAGGAGAUGGGGAGAGCAGUGAGCAGCAAAUGGAAAAUUCUGGCACUGCGGGGCUGAGCGAGAGUGUCACUGCUGACAUCACUAAAAGUAGGAUCAAACCUGAUCUAAAAAGCAAUUUGGAAUAUGAGCUUUUCUUUCCAAAUGAGCGGUAAGUGCCUUCCUUCACACGGAAUCCGGUGCAGUAAUAGUGGCUUCUAUUACACUUUAAAUUGAUUGGCUUUAUGGCCCAGAACUGGGGAAUUGCCCUAGCCUGAUCUCGGCGGGCUCAUGUUUCUAAUUCUGGCAACUCUAAAUCCGGAUGCCCUGAAAAUCCAUGCUGUUGCUUACAGUGUGUGCUGUUAUCUCCAUUUUCAUGUGUCCGGGCAAAAUAAAGGAGCCGGGAUGCACAGAAGAUUGGCCAAAAGGUGAAAAGGAAACCAGGAAAGCAAGCUAGCGAGUGCAGAAGGACAAGUUUACAUGUGGAGUGGAUCCAUGUAUAAAUAAUCUUGAAUGAUUAUUAGAGAAUGGCUUGGGUUGGAAGGAACCUCCACGAUCAUCCACUUCCAACCCCAUUCUAUAGACUGGUUGCCAACUGCUAGACCAGGCUGCGCACAGUCCCAACCAGCCUGGCCAUGAAUGUCUCCUUUGUAUUUGCAUUAUCCAAGAUCUUUUGUAUGAGAGCGAGGUAGCAUCUCUGUGUCCUUCCAUUGGGGUCUGAAGGACAUGGAUGGAGAGAUGCAGACACCACCACGCUUCUGAGCCCAUGUCAAUCCUUUGCACGGCCUGUGCGCAGCCCCAUUUAGGACAUCAGAACCUGUAUUUGUGCCACCAGGUUAAAAAAUAGCCCCGCUGGAAAGAAAAGCUUAACAAGGUGCAGCACAUCGGCAUGAAGGAAAGAGCAGCUGAUGGGCUGCAGAGUGACUUGGAGGAGCUCCCACCCUGUGCUGGAGCAGAGCUCAUAACUCCGGCUCACACGGAGGACGUGCCCUGGGGGAAUUAUUCUACCUUUGAUCCGCACACGAAAUCCCAGCUGCUGUCAGAGGAGCCGUGCAUGCCUAACCACGGCUGUACAUCAUCCUAAU